rnacentral:rRNA from 1 species
UUUGAUCCUGGCUCAGAUUGAACGCUGGCGGGAUGCUUUACACAUGCAAGUCGAACGGCAGCACGGACUUCGGUCUGGUGGCGAGUGGCGAACGGGUGAGUAAUGUAUCGGAACGUGCCUGGUAGCGGGGGAUAACUACGCGAAAGCGUAGCUAAUACCACAUACGCCCUUCGGGGAAAGCAGGGGACCUUCGGGCCUCGCACUAUUAGAGCGGCCGAUAUCGGAUUAGCUGGUGUUUGGGAGCAACGGCUCACAAGGCGACGAUCCGUAGCUGGUUUGAGAGGACGACCAGCCACACUGGGACUGAGACGCAGCCCGACUCCUACAGGAGAGCAGCAGUGAAAUUUUAGACGUCGAAACCCUGAUCCAGCCAUCCGCGUGUGCGAUGAAGGCCUUCGGGUUGUAAAAGCACUGCUGCUGCGCGGAAAAGAAACAGCACGGGAUAUCCCCGUGCAACUGACGGUACCUGCGAAAUCAGCAUAAGCGCUACGUGCCAGCAACCGCGGUAAUACGUAAGUGCAAGCGUUAAUCGGAAUUACUGGGCGUGGCCGUGCGCAGCAGUUCGGAAAGAAGAUGUGAAAUCCCAGAGCUUAACUUUGGAACUGCAUUUUUAACUACCGGCUAAAUGAAAGUGUGUCAGAGGGAGGUGGAAUUCCGCGUGUAGCAGUGAAAUGCGUAGAUAUGCGGAGAACACCGAUGGCGAAGGCAGCCUCUGGGAUAACACUGACGCUCAUGCACAGCAGCGUGGGGAGCAAACAGGAUUAGAUACCCUGGUAGUCCACGCCCUAAACGAUGUCAACUAGCUGUUGGGGCCUUCGGGCUUGUUGUGCAGCUAACGCGUGAAGUUGACCGCCUGGGAUACGGUCGCAAGAUUAAAACUCUAAGGAAUUGACAGGACCCGCACAAGCGGUGGAUGAUGUGGAUGAAUUCGAUUACAACGCGAAAAACCUUACCUACCCUUGACAUGUCUGAAUCGAAGGGCGGGAGUGCUCGCAAGAGAACCGGAACACAGGUGCUGCAUGGCUGUCGUCAGCUCGUGUCGUGAGAUGUUGGGUUAAGUCCCGCAACGAGCGCAACCCUUGUCAUUAGUUGCUACGAAAGGGCACUCUAAUGAGACUGCGGUGACAAACCGGAGGAAGGUGGGGAUGACGUCAAGUCCUCAUGGCCCUUAUGGGUAGGGCUUCACACGUCAUACAAUGGUCAGGACAGAAGGAUUCGCCAACUAGAGGCCAAUCCCGAGGAAACCCGAUCGUAGUCCGGAUCGCGGUCUGCAACUCGACUGCGUGAAGUCGGAAUCGCUAUUAAUCGCAGGAUCAGCAUGUCACUUUGCGACCGAAUGCGUUCCCGGGUCUUGUACACACCGCCCGUCACACCAUGGGAGUGGGUUUUGCAG